rnacentral:lncRNA from 1 species
GCCAACGCUAUGGCCGACUGGGCGAGUUGGGGUCUUGGGAGAGGGAUUAGGAUCAGCUCUCUCUAGACGACUUACUCGUUCUCCCGGUACUGAAUACCUGUACGCGUCAACGUAUGUUGGCAUUCAUACCCGAGGAAAUAGUGUUGACGGGGGGUGUCCUUGUUCAAAGACGCCGGGCCAUUUCAUCUGCUUUUUCUGACUUGUCCCUUGACAAAGGUCUUCUACAUUUCGAUGACGCAGAUACACAAUGAUAUGGGAGUUCGUGUUUGACCACUCCUGAUGUGCUGAGACAUCCAGAAAGGACUACAUAAUGGGAAAGAAAAAGGAGAAAAAGGGUAAGGAAAGAAAAUCAAAGUCCUCUGAAGCGCCGCUUGAAUCGAGUCCUGAUGAAAUUCAAGACGAUGUCCCGCCCCCUCCCACACCAACCCUAUCGGAGAUAAUGCUCAGUGACGUUGCUAUGUUGAACUUGUACUACACAGCUCAUGACGCGCCUCACGCGCUGCAGCUCAGAGGGUUUGAGUGGCCUGACAAUCCCAAGAAGAAGAAGGGGAAGAAAUGAGAACAUGUGGAAGCAGAAUUUUUAGAAAAGCUAUACCCGACUGUGCAGAUCUGACACAACUGGAGCAAUGGUUAAACUAGUCGUAGUCACUUCAAUCGGACAGAGAAGCGAAAGUCAGAGCGUCUGAGAAUUUUGUGGAUCUGCUUUUUAAACAGAACACCGUUAAUUUGAAAACAAUAGUAAACCGAAGGAAAAUAGAAUUGUUGAUUUUUUUUCUUGGCUAUUUGAGUAGUAUCUCUAAACUGAAAACUUGACUAAGCCGAAGACAAUCCUGUGGUUCCGCAGAUUUCGGUUUAAGUGGACUCCGCUGCAUUUGAUGUAAAAAAAACUGCCAGCUUCUGUAUUGAAUGUGGAGGACAAUCAGCCCACUUCUUAACAGAAGAAUGGAACUGAAAUAAACUCUAAACUGGUCUUAUAAUAAAAAGCCUUUAUUAAACCUUUAUUA